UAUAAUUAAAUAAUUAAUAAUACACAUCUUAAAUUUUAUAUACAGCAUUUAUUGAAUAUUGUCAUAUUCCACAUUAAGAACCCACAAUAGGGCAGGGACCAAACGAAUAAAUGUAAAAAUUAAGCUAACAAUGCUGGUUGGUUACCCGCAACCCGGCCAGAAAAUCCAUUGCAUUCUGAAUCUUAUAACAAUGUGCUAGAGUUCAAAAUCAAAAUACCGUAACCGGGUUUAGGUUAACUUUGAUUACCAUUGAGUCACUACUGAAAAUCCCGAUAGGGUAAGUCAGAGGUGACUAAUAGUAACCACACCGUACACAUACAUGAACCUACGCCUCUCCUAAACGGGUAGGCAUAGACUAUGGACAUCCAUUUACAGCUCGUUCAAACAGCUUUGGUAGUUCAGAAGUUUCGUACCUUGUCAAACUAACAAACCACCUAUUCAUUCCUUCAAAGACUAACUGUUGGUUAGUUGAACAAAGCACAAAUAACUAUCAAGUUGUUUGGACUAACAUCGGCCGCCAAUCGUCCCACUACUGGACCUAGGCCUCUCCCAAUGAGCCAACACUCUGUCCUGGGCCUUCCUCAUCCAGCCACUACCGGCCGCCCGUCUGAGGUUUUAUGUCUCACGCUUAUAUUAACUACAGAGUGUUGCAAAAAGGGUAUACUAAGCCGAAACCUACAUAAAAUAUUAUUUUUUAAUCGAAACUAUGUUCGUCACGUGAGAAUGACUUUUUUUUUCGCGAACUUUGAAAUUCUGAUUUCCGUUUCGGCCUAGUAUACCCUUUUUGCAACACCCUGUAUAU